rnacentral:lncRNA from 1 species
AGACCUAGCGAUUGACAUGGCCUUCAGAGGAUCUUGGACAGCGUCAGGAGAGGAUGACAUAGUCAACUGCAUACCUGCAAAAGAAUUCAGAACCUGUAGCAGGAAUCGACAUCCUUUUCCACAGACCGUUGCAGUUCCUCUCACUGUAGACCGAGUAGACCCUUCGGUCUCAGUCAUGUGACUUACUUUAGUCAAGAAGACUUGAAAUGUGCAUGCAUAGAUGGGCUUGUCCUCUCACACCUCUGCCACCUUUGUAAAAAGAAGCUGUCCUGUUACGAUUUUGCACCAAGGAAGAUGACGGACACAGAAGCAUAUUUGGACCCAUCUCACACCCUGGCAUCCACGGCAGACUGGA